ensembl:lncRNA
GCCGCGCCUCCCCCUGCCCCCCGAGGCUGCCUCCCGGUUCGGCAGAGGCCGCUCGGCAGGGGCAGGAGGCCCAGCGCCACGAAGGGGGCGGAACCAACCGAGCGGCGGCUGCUCCCCGCGGGCCCCGCUCUCGCUUCUCCUUCGCCGGGAAACGCGGCCCGGCCGCCCCGCGGCUCCCCUCUUCCUGCUCCUCGGCAGAGGCCGGCGGGCACCGAGCGCGGCCCCGAAACGCGCCGGCCCCCCUCAGCCGCAGAGCGAAGCAGAACGGACGAGCGAACGAGCGAGCGAGCAGGAAUUAGAGGAAACCAAAGUGAACAGGUAUUCAUUAGAUCUGAGAAUAAAAUUUCCUCUGACAUAUCAGGUGGAGCAGGAAAGGAAAGACAUAGUUCAUAACUCUGCCUCUAUGACACCAACAAGCAGAGCUUCGUCUUCCAGAAGGCAUCUUGGUGCAGUCAACAAGUACCAGCUGUGUCACCGCGGUCUCUGCAUGAGCAAACAAUUACAGGACAGAGCCACACCUGGAUUUGUGCCUGCAAGUGAGGAUUUUCCACUACAGAGAUCAGAUUUUUGAUAACUUGAUGGAUUAUUAAAAAUUACUUCACUGGAGAAGGGAAGGCUGAGAGAAGACUUCAUUGCAACCUCCCAGUAUUUAAAAGCUGUUGGAAGUGAUGGUGGGGCUGCUGCGCAGCAGCUCAUGGCAUAUGAACAUGGCAAAGACUUGGGUACCAGACCAGCCAACUGUCCAGGUCUCUGGGCACAUCUGCAGAGGUGUGGUGGGUCUGAGGCCAAGCAGGAAGCAAGAUCAGUGGAUCGGGAUCAUGCCUGAUAGCAGCUAAGGACAGCCACCAUCUGCUGGUCUUACCAGGAAAUCAUGAUCUGAAUGGAUGAGCAGCCAGAGCAGUGAAGAACUGUUUGGAUGACUAGUUUGAGAGUGUAGUCCUCUGUGGAAGCUGGCAACUGUCAGGAUCUGUGCUGGGACCUGUCCCACUUUACAACUUUACCAGUGACCUGGAAGGGAUUAUGCACUCGCAGAAAUUUGUCAGAUGCUACCAAACUGGAAGUGACCAGCAGAUGAGCUGGAAGGCAAUGCUCCAUUCAUCAGACACCUAGACACGUUGCGAAAAUGUGCUUAUGGGAACUUCAUUAAACUCAAUGAGAACAAAUGCAAACUCCUG